UUUACCUUCGCCAGUGCCACCGCCCUGCCAGGUUGACAUCUCCUUGCUCUCCUCUCCCGCCCCCCAAGCCCAGCACACCUCCUCCUCAUUCCCCCAGCCAGUUUUGAGCACCAGGGCAGGAAUAACUCAGCAAACGUACAUUUGUCCAAAGGGUCUACGAAGGCCAGAAGUCUGCAGCACUUAAAAAAAUAGUAGCACUGAUGGCAUACCACACCACCGCGUUUAUCACAGGCGCUGCACAUUCCCUUCACCAUCAGCAUACAGGAAAGAUGGCAAAAAAAAAACCAAACACAAAACCGAGCUUGAAGUGACUGCCUUGGCUGGAGACCCAUCUGUGAUUUUCCACAGCAUUUCUGGAUAAAAAUAAUAAAAUUCGGCAGAUGAAAUCCCAAACCCAUGGCAGCCUGGCCAUCAGGAGGAAGCCAACUGUACCUGCUUGAACUCCGGCAGCCUCCUCGCAGCGCUGCAGGCGACCUGGUCCAGAGGGACCUUCACAGCCUGAGCGCAGCGCCCGCUGGCAAACCCAGGGCUAGAAAGAGAAAACACGCUCAAAAUUUUCUUUACCGAGGGCGCUCUUUGGAGUCUCAGGGAAGAAAUCUUUUUAUUCCUCCUGCAACUAGAACACGCGCUGUUAUCUUUUGCGCUGAUUAAUAUUGCCUGGGAGUGGAGAUGAGAUGCUGGGCAGAGCCCGACGCUCUCAAUCAAUUAAAUCAAUGCAGUCGUGACGCUCCAGCGAUUUUCCCUAACCAAGGGUUUGGCCUAAAAGGCAGAGUACAGAGCGUUAGGGAGGACACAUGGAAUCACAGAUAACGUGGCCGCCGGUCAGGCUGAGAACAACAGGAAAGUCGUGCUCCGCAUCCCCAUUUCCCUGCGACGGGCACGGUGGGAUGCAGCCCUGGACGGGUCAAGGAGGCACCGCCCCCUGUGAUGCUCACACACUCCUUCUCACAGCCUUUUAAUUAUUCUUAUCAUUAUAGCACUGGUUAUAUAUUUAUUUAAAUGAUGUCUUUAAGAUUACAUAGAUUGUCUCCUUCUUUUAAGGGCUACUUUUGGCUAGUCCGGGGAAACUGCUGGGCUCUCUCCUUCGCAGGGAUGGCCCUGGCUGAGCUCCCCCAGCAGCCGUGUGUCUUAGGGACACAUUUACUCAUCCCACUACAAAACAUCAGAAACCCAAGGUCACCCACGUUCUUCCCCUGGGUGUCCAGCAAUUCAUUAAAAAA